CCGGGCGGCUCCAGCAGGGGGCGCCUUGUGCUGGGAGCUCUACAGUAGUAGAGGACACGUGACUUCCUCCUGGCAGUCAUUACAGAGGUGUACAGAACCAAGUUGUGUCUGUAGAACUAAAUCAUCUCCCUUCUCAGGGGUGUGGCCACGGGUGUGGUGACCGCCAGUGUCUCCGGUGGAAGGAGGCAAGAGAGUCCGCCGCUGCAGGAGGAUGCAAGGUCUCCGCUCAUGUCUACGACGCUCAUUGCUUUUAAUGCACUGUCAACUUGUGACAACCUGGUGCGGUACGGCGGCUGCGAGCCACUCAAGAUGUGUCAGGACUUGGACGUGGAUUUUUUCUUAGAUGCAAAGGAAAAUUGGCCCAAACCAGGUGACAAUAAAGUUUUCUCUCUCCGUGGUGACUGAGAAAUAAUGAUCAGCAAGCAUCUCAGGAAUCUGUCGUCUUAGCAGGAAAGUCUUUGGAACAUGUCGCUCUGCUUAAGUUUCAUCCAUGUCAAGACAUUCUUUAUCUUGGACAUUCAUGAGCAGAAGUGGUGUGUAAUGUGGGGAUUUUGCAUUCCAAAAUGGACCAUUCAAAAAAAAUCCUCUUAAUUUUGUUAAAUUUUUCA